GGAUGACAAACCUCAGUCCGAAAAUUCGAAUGCUGAGAAUCCGUCCAUAUUUUUCUGUAAACUGCAAAAGGAUAUUAAAAAAAGAAAUUGACGUAGUCGGCAGGAUCAGUGAGGGGCACCACGCGGAGCAGCGGUGACUGAACUUCGAGGACGCUCCUCAGAGAGAAUUUCUCGACUGAGCUGGAGAAAGAGGGAAACCCACAAGAAUACGGGAAAGUACCUAACCAGGGAGUGAUGUCCCGCUUCACUCCGGUGGUGUGCUCCGCCUGAUCUAAUGGACUGAAACAGGUGAAUGCAGUCCUUCCUGAGGUGACGGAUACUCCCCUCCAUACGCAUCAGCCAGGUGAUUGGGUGCUGAUUAAAGACUUCCGAAGGAAGCGGUGGAGUCAACCCAGGUGGAGAGGGCCAUUCCAGGUGCUACUGACGACCAACACUGCUGUCAAAACCAAUGGAAGAGCCACUUGGGUACACCAUACCCACUGUAAAAAAGCACCUGAGAGCCCUACAGACGACUAGUAACCAUGAAGAGCAGAAUGACCGAAGCGAUGACUCUGGCAGCGCAGACAAGUAUAAAGGAUCCCGACGCACAGGACGAAGACUUCUAUAGACUAAGAACAUUAUUAAACCCUAUGAUGAAUGCAAUUACAAAUGAUUGUGUAAGAAUCAAAGGGGGGAAGUGUGAUGGAAAAUAUUAUUCAAUCAUGAAUUAUCUUGUGAUUCGUAUGUAAUGAUAUAUAAUCAUGUUAAUCCUUUCAUUAUAUAAUCCUAUAUGAAUAGU